AGACAUCUGCUAGCUUUCUAAUCCCUUCCUGGACGGUCGGACCUUCUAUGACUCGCACGUUGGAGAGCUUUUGAGAAAUCACUUUCGCAAUGCACAUCGUAAUCAUGUGUCUUCAUCCCUAAACCUUUAUGGCCUUAUGGGUGUCUUAAAGAUUUAGGGAUGAAGAUGGUCUGUUUAAUCUUAUCUUCAACGUUUGAAUCCUGACGAUUUAAAAAACCACGUGGUUACGUAAAUUUUGCACGAACAUACAGUUGGUAGGAGGGGGAGUAUUUGAGAUUUAUAAUGUCUAUAAUUUCGGAUUUUAAAGAUGUAUCUUUAUUUGAAUUAUGAAUAUAUAUAUAUAUGUGGUGAAACC
rnacentral:sRNA from 1 species